GAACUUUAAAAAAAAAUACGCGGGUCGCAAUUUGGUCUAAUGGAGUGUGAGAUAUAGGUUAGUUAUAUAAACAAAAAAAAACCAUCCCCAACUUAGAACUCUAUCUCUCUACCUCUUCUCUCUCUCAUUAUCUCUCUAGCGAUUUCGUAUAUCUCCGAUUUUGUAACAAAUCGACGGCCGGGCCUCCGUCGAGUUCUCUCUACGAAGGUAAAGAUGAACUUUUAUCAUUUUAGUUGAUUUUUCAAGUUUUCUAUUGGUACCCAAGAUUUAUAAAGAAAAUAAGGUUUUAUUUCUGAGUAGGAUUUGAAAUGAAUUGUCAAUUGGUAUGACUGGACUAUUUGUAAAUCUUUAUCUAUUAUCUUAUCCCCGGGUUUUUCCUUUUUGUACUGUCUUGUUCUUUUAAGAAGUGUUGGGCUGCAAGACUUAAUAAAUCUGAUCUUGAUGAUUUUUCUGUUGGUGGUGGUUCUAUUACUCUAUUUUCUUUCUCUGGCUUAUUUAGUAAUGUUUGGUCGCAAACUGCUGUUUUCAUCAAAAAAAAGAAACUGAAACUCUAGUCCUUGGAUAUAAUCUUACUGUUUCAAAAUGAUCUAGCACAGUGUGGAUGGACUGUGGAUGGAGUCUUAAAAAUCAGAGCCAUGAGCACAUAACGUGCUUGCAAGAAUUAACAGUUAACUGUAAACAUAAGCAUGUGUUCUCUUCUUUGAACAGUUUUUUUGUAGGUAAUAUUCACAUAUAAUAGUUUGAAAUUUUUCCAUCAUUAACUAUGGUUUCUGAAGUUUUUAUAUAAUUAAUUUAUGUGGUGGGAGUGUGGGACUAUUAGAAACAAUCUCCUAACAAAGUUCUUUUAUCAAUAUGUACACAACAUUUGUCUCAUAAAAGAUGUCUAAAGAACCACAUAUAAAUAAAAUAGAACCAGACAGUACAAAAAAUUAGACAGUACUAAAUAAGCCAGAGAAAGAAAAUAGAGUAAUAAAUCCACCAACAAAACCAACAGAAAAAUCAUCAAGAUCAGAUUUAUUAAGUCUUGCAACCCAGCACUUCUUAGAACCAGACAGUACAAAAAGGAAUGAAAAGAAAAAACCCAGGGAUAAGAUAACAGAUAAAGAUUUACAACUAGUCCAGUCAUACCAAUUGACUAUUCAUUUCAAAUCAUACCCAUAAAUUAAACCUUAUUUUCUUUAUAAAUCUUGGGUUCCAAUGGAAAGCUCGAAAAUACAACUAAAAUGGUAAAAGUUCACUUUUACCUUCGUAGAUAGAUCUCGUCGGAGGCCUGUCAAUUUGGUACGAAAUCGGAGAGGUACGAAAUCACUGGAGAGGUAGAGAAGAGGUAUAAAGAGAUAGAGCUCUGAGUUGGGGAUGAGUUUUUUUGUUUAUAUAGUGGUCGAACCAUUAUUGACUUAAUG
rnacentral:lncRNA from 1 species